rnacentral:rRNA from 1 species
UACGUAGGAGGCGAGCGUUGUCCGGAAUCACUGGGUGUAAAGCGCGUGUAGGCGGCCUGUCAAGUCUGCUGUGAAAGCGCCUGGCUUAACCGGGCGAGGUCGGUGGAAACUGGCGGGCUGGAGGACGGUAGAGGGGGGUGGAAUUCCCGGUGUAGUGGUGAAAUGCGUAGAGAUGUGGAGGAACACCGAUGGCGAAGGCAGCCCCCUGGGUCAACACUGACGCUCAUGCACGAAAGCGUGGGGAGCAAACAGG